ensembl:lncRNA
UGGGUGGAUAGGUUCUGGUUGUGUGAUUCUAGAGCCAAAUAUAAAGAGCCAAAGGGCUUCUAGAUGAAAAUCAGCUCUGCUAGACUUAUGUUAUAUAUAUACUUAAAUUUUGUGACAACAUUUUUGACAGGUCAAAUACAGAUUGUAAUGACUGGAAAUUUACCAGUUUUGUUUUCAACUUCUUGAGCUUCCUAGGAGACCAGUUAUAUAGAACAACUAAAAGAGCAUCUCAAUUUCUAGAUGACCUCACGUUGGUGGUAGAGUCAAAAAGCCCUUCUAGAAGAGUCGGGCGGUUUCUUAACCCUGGCUGCCCAUUAGAAACACUUGGAAGCUUUUAACAAUUAUGAUGUUCUAGCCCCACCUGAACCCAAUUAAUAUAGAACACUGGGGAGUGGGGCCAGGGCAAAGGGCCCAGGGCAGUUUUAUAAGUGCCCUGGGUGAUUCUAAUUUUCAAUUAGGGUUAAAAAAAGCUAACACUGGGGUAUAACCUUUUGCUUUAACCCUUCAUCUUUUGAUCAGACUCAGAAGUGACAAUGUUAGAACAAAGAUGCUAACAGCUAACAUUUCAAAUCAAACCUUAGGCAUCAUUUAAAGCCAACGCAUCCUUAAAGACCCCAAGGGAAGGAGUAAAGAUGGAAAGAGCAAAGAUAUAUGGCUGGAGGGAUGAAAGAUCUUCUCUCCAGCAAGGCCCAACACAGCUGGCUGCCAGGUUCCAGGCAGCGGCACAGACGCACAGAUGCAGAAGGCACUUGGAGCCACAGGAAGCUUACAGUCGGGUCCUUGACCGGGUCUUCCUGUCGUCCUGCGCUCAGAUCCUUCACUGUCCUACUGCAGUUUUACAACCUAGCAGAAGGAAGUUCUUGAAAGCAUCGCUCUUUGUCCUCAGAGAGAUGAGUGAUCCUCAUCCUCAGGCAUCCUGUCUGAUGCUGACAAGCACUUGAUGACAAUGAGGAAAGCCAGCCUGAGCGGGAUGCUGAGACAUGAAGAGAAGACUAGGUAACAGAAUCUCAGAAUGAAGCUGAAGAGACAACGGAUUAAUGGAGCUUGAUAGAAGCUUAGGAAAUCUUCUCCACAGCCCCUGCCUUUGGGCAGCACACAUCUAAACCAUCUACAAUGGUUCACGGUCUGUGCUUCUCCACAGCCUCCCAGUGUGCAGACACCAGAACCUACUCUGGGACUUUCACACCACGACUGCCCAGAAGUUUUCCAGUCACUCAAGAGAAAUCUGUUAGGUAUUAACAGAAUUUUAACCCAUUCUUUCUCGGUUUUGAAUUUUUAAGCCUACAAAAGAACACAUACACACACGUGCACACAGUUGUUCAGUGUGAUUUAUUAGGAAAUAUUGAACAUUUCCAAAAGAGAAUUAAUUAUCGAGCUAACUAGGAUACUUUUAGACAAUUGGAUGGUAGAAUUGGAGAUUUUUGUCCCAUGCUUAAUGUCUUAAUAUCAUGAACUGUCUCUUUAAACAUCCUGAAACUGGCCUUGUUUGAAUUAUUUACAGUCUUUGAACAGCACAAUCUUUGUAGAUAUUCUUAAUACUCUUUGGUGGAUCUUUCUUUAGCAUCUUAUUGGAAAUAAAGCAUUUCACUUACUUCUGUUAAGAAAAUAUCAUUGCAAUCAGCUGUAGAAAAAAAUUUUUUUGCACAUAUACUAUUCUUUCAUAAAGUUCCAUAAGAUUAGUUGUAGUCCUUUGGUUUUUCCAGCUUAUUGAACCAAAAUCAUAGCUUCUAUUUCUAACCUGAGAAAUAUGCAUUCUCGGUAAGAUUAUUUCUCUGGCAAAAAUGCAAUGGGCAACCAAGAGAUUCCCUGUGCAACUGUCACCUCUGCUUUGGAAAUCCGGGUACUGUGCUUCUAAUCUGUGAAAGGGGCUGGGCUUGUUCAUCCCGCAGCAGAUCUGCUACCCUAAAAUGAGAUAAUAGUAGCCUGAAAUGUACGUUUUGUUUUCCACUAACUAUUUAUUUUCCCCUUUUUAAAGGUCAACUAUUUCUAUGACCAUGAUGUAUAGCUGGAACCAAAGGAAACUUUAACAACAGCGCCAUUGUUUAGACAAAUUGAUCUCAGAGAACGACAAUAGUAUUGAACCAGGCUUGCAAAUAACUACCCAAAAUUUACCAGUCCCCCAAAGUUUAUAAUCCUUUCCCUUCUAGAGAGAAAGAAGCUGUAAAAUAUAAAGCAUCCACGUUUGCAAACUAAGAAGCCAAUAUAAAAUUUUUUGUGGAUAGACUUCCAGGAAAAUGUCAAAAUGAAUUUUAUUAUAGAAUUUAUUAAAAGAAUUUCCUUUGAAGAUUAAUAAUCUGAGUAAUAAUAAAAGAAAGUCCUUUUCUGAAGUGGUAGUUUUGUAUAUACCCAUGGUGAACAGCACAUUUCUAUCUUCUCUUGUUAUAAAAUCAUAGAAAUAAAAAAAAUCCGUUUCAAUGUGAUAAGUUUAGGUUAAAAUGAGGUUAAAUUUCCUGACAAGGCUUGUUGAAAUAAUAUCCUUCCAGGGAAAACUGUUAAAUUGCCUUUGAAGAUAUUUUAAGUUAAGAUUUCUGGUUCAUGUGAUUUCACACAUAUGUUCCUCUAUUCUAUAAAAUGUCUCCAACUUUUUUUCUUUCUUUAAUAAAUGCCUAAAGCGUAUUAACAAAGGCACAUUUUUACAAGUUCUUUUCAUCUUUGUUACUGAUGGGGCUAAGCAGCGAUAUACAAAAUAGAACAGUGUAACAUUGCUUUCUGUGUAGAGUAAUUAUCUCAAACAAUAACAACAAAACAAUGACAGCAGCAACACAAACCACAGAAAUGUUUUAUCCUGUCAUUGAAGAUUCUUCCUAAACUUUUAACUCUUUUAAUGCCAUACAAAGAUAUGUGACCUCAUCAUUAUAACAUUUGCAUAAGGAUACUAAAUAUUCAGAAUAGGAUUUAAUACAAUUAUCACUAUGUGAAUUGGUCUUCAGGUCUAGUUACUUAUCAGAAAAAUGGACUAUUAGAUAUAAAAGGGACCUAAAAGAGCUUCUAAGCUCGUGUUUCUUAAUAUGUAGUCCAUGAACCAUCUGUAUCCAAAUGACCUGGUCUGCUCAUUUAAAAAAGGCUAUACAGGCAUCACUAAUUAGCAAUUUUGGAGGUAGGUCUUAUGAAUCUAGA